AUUGAACGCUGGCGGAAUGCUUUACACAUGCAAGUCAAACGGCAGCACGGACUUCGGUCUGGUGGCGAGUGGCGAACGGGUGAGUAACAUAUCGGAACGUAUCCAAUAAUGGGGGAUAACGAGUCGAAGGAUUCGCUAAUACCGCAUACGCCCUACGGGGGAAAGCUGGGGACCUUCGGGCCUGGCGUUAAUGGAGCGGCCGAUAUCUGAUUAGCUAGUUGGUGAGGUAAAGGCUCACCAAGGCGACGAUCAGUAGCUGGUCUGAGAGGACGACCAGCCACACUGGAACUGAGACACGGUCCAGACUCCUACGGGAGGCAGCAGUGGGGAAUUUUGGACAAUGGGCGCAAGCCUGAUCCAGCCAUUCCGCGUGAGUGAAGAAGGCCUUCGGGUUGUAAAGCUCUUUCGCAAGGGAAGAAAACUUAGCCACUAACAUUGGUUGAGGUUGACGGUACCUUGAUAAGAGGCACCGGCUAACUACGUGCCAGCCGCCGCGGUAA
rnacentral:rRNA from 1 species